ACUGAUGAGGCGAGGAAAAAGAUCCGUUCCAGGUCAAAUGAGCCGUGGCAACUGGAACCAAUUCCUUUUGUAUUUUUCUGCAUGAAGAGAAAGGAAAGAAAGGUGUUGUUUUAUUAUCAUGUGAUAUACCAUACUGGAUAAGUCGUACGCGUAAAGAUGGAAGCAUUGUGAAUGGACUAGUUGCGGAAGUUAUGGUUGCUAAUGAUUCAUGUAUGCUCUUUCUCUAUCUGUCGCUUUCUCUCUCUCCCUCUAUCUCACUUCCAAGAAUGUAGCUAGAUUGCUGUAAUGUAGUUAGGCUAAUGUGGCUUUUAUAUUCUAUUUUUAUAGCAAUAGAUAGAUUUGGGUUAAUGGGUUGUAUUUUACUGAUAACAGGUCCAAAUGGUCAAAUGGGUCUCUAAAAUGCUCAUUUAGAUGCUUAAAACUUUUGUAUAUGUUUUAUUUUUAAUAAGAUGACUGAAACGGAAACAGGCCUAACGGGUCAAAGUAAA